rnacentral:rRNA from 1 species
UACGUAGGGUGCAAGCGUUAAUCGGAAUUACUGGGCGUAAAGCGUGCGCAGGCGGUCUUGUAAGUCUGUCGUGAAAGCCCCGGGCUCAACCUGGGAAUUGCGAUGGAGACUGCAAGGCUUGAAUCUGGCAGAGGGGGGGUAGAAUUCCACGUGUAGCAGUGAAAUGCGUAGAGAUGUGGAGGAACACCGAUGGCGAAGGCAGCCCCCCUGGGUCAAGAUUGACGCUCAUGCACGAAAGCGUGGGGAGCAAACAGG